rnacentral:tRNA from 1 species
GCCUGAGUGGUUCAGUUGGUUGAGCGUCUGACUCUUGAUUUCAGCUCAGAUCAUGAUCUCACGGUUCGUGAGUUCGAGCCCUGCCUCUGGCU